rnacentral:lncRNA from 1 species
GACGAAGAAGGCCUGCGACCAACGACGACAUUAUGGAUGCUAUCGAUGGUAUGCAGACACAGAAUGCAGAGAUGAUGCAGAUGAUGCGUCAAAUGCAACAGCAACAGGAUGCUCGGAAUGCCAUAACCGACCAGCGGUUUACUGAAUUGUUUAGCAGGUUUGACAACUUAGACAUACGUCAAAGAUCACCAGGGCCAAGAACCAGAGGCGGAAGGCAGCCUUAGUUGUCAUUUUCUUUGCAUUUCCAUUUUGUAUUUAAUUUCCCUUAAAACAUUGAGGACAAUGUUUAGUUUAAGUAUGGGGGGGGAAACAAUAUUCUUUCCAUUCUCAUUUUUCAAGUAUGUACUCUCCCUUUCAUCGUUAUUUCCCUUUUUUUCCUAUAAAAAAAAAAAAAAAAAUUAUUUUAAGUUAAGUUCCUAAGUGUGAAAAAUUUUCUAUUAUCUAUUCCCCUCAAUUUUCUUGAGCCAUAACAAAAAAUUUUUUUAACACACCCAAUAAGUAUAAAGGUUGCUUACUUUAUAAAACUUGAGUGAAAUCAAAACAAAAUCAUUACCAUAAC